UACGGGGGGGGCAAGCGUUGUUCGGAAUUACUGGGCGUAAAGGGCUCGUAGGCGGCCAACUAAGUCAGACGUGAAAUCCCCAGGCUCAACCUGGGAACUGCGUCUGAUACUGGAUGGCUUGAAUCCGGGAGAGGGAUGCAGAAUUCCAGGUGUAGCGGUGAAAUGCGUAGAGAUGUGGAGGAAUACCGAUGGCGAAGGCAGCCCCCUGGGCCAAUACUGACGCUCAUGCACGAAAGCGUGGGGAGCAAACAGG
rnacentral:rRNA from 1 species